UACAGAGGUCCCAAGCGUUGUUCGGAUUUACUGGGCGUAAAGGGUGCGUAGGCGGUGGGGUAAGUUUGAGGUGAAAGCUCCGGGCUCAACCCGGAAACUGCCUUGAAAACUAUCCGGCUAGAGGGUUGGAGGGGAGACUGGAAUUCUCGGUGUAGCAGUGAAAUGCGUAGAUCUCGAGAGGAACACCAGUGGCGAGGGCGGGUCUCUGGACAACACCUGACGCUGAGGCACGAAAGCCAGGGGAGCAAACGGG
rnacentral:rRNA from 1 species